rnacentral:rRNA from 1 species
AUUGAACGCUGGCGGCAUGCCUUACACAUGCAAGUCGAACGGCAGCACGGAGCUUGCUCUGGUGGCGAGUGGCGAACGGGUGAGUAAUAUAUCGGAACGUACCCUAGAGUGGGGGAUAACGUAGCGAAAGUUACGCUAAUACCGCAUACGAUCUAAGGAUGAAAGUGGGGGAUCGCAAGACCUCAUGCUCGUGGAGCGGCCGAUAUCUGAUUAGCUAGUUGGUAGGGUAAAAGCCUACCAAGGCAUCGAUCAGUAGCUGGUCUGAGAGGACGACCAGCCACACUGGAACUGAGACACGGUCCAGACUCCUACGGGAGGCAGCAGUGGGGAAUUUUGGACAAUGGGCGAAAGCCUGAUCCAGCAAUGCCGCGUGAGUGAAGAAGGCCUUCGGGUUGUAAAGCUCUUUUGUCAGGGAAGAAACGGUGAAAGCUAAUAUCUUUUGCUAAUGACGGUACCUGAAGAAUAAGCACCGGCUAACUACGUGCCAGCAGCCGCGGUAAUACGUAGGGUGCAAGCGUUAAUCGGAAUUACUGGGCGUAAAGCGUGCGCAGGCGGUUUUGUAAGUCUGAUGUGAAAUCCCCGGGCUCAACCUGGGAAUUGCAUUGGAGACUGCAAGGCUAGAAUCUGGCAGAGGGGGGUAGAAUUCCACGUGUAGCAGUGAAAUGCGUAGAUAUGUGGAGGAACACCGAUGGCGAAGGCAGCCCCCUGGGUCAAGAUUGACGCUCAUGCACGAAAGCGUGGGGAGCAAACAGGAUUAGAUACCCUGGUAGUCCACGCCCUAAACGAUGUCUACUAGUUGUCGGGUCUUAAUUGACUUGGUAACGCAGCUAACGCGUGAAGUAGACCGCCUGGGGAGUACGGUCGCAGGAUUAAAACUCAAAGGAAUUGACGGGGACCCGCACAAGCGGUGGAUGAUGUGGAUUAAUUCGAUGCAACGCGAAAAACCUUACCUACCCUUGACAUGGCUGGAAUCCUUGAGAGAUCAGGGAGUGCUCGAAAGAGAACCAGUACACAGGUGCUGCAUGGCUGUCGUCAGCUCGUGUCGUGAGAUGUUGGGUUAAGUCCCGCAACGAGCGCAACCCUUGUCAUUAGUUGCUACGAAAGGGCACUCUAAUGAGACUGCCGGUGACAAACCGGAGGAAGGUGGGGAUGACGUCAAGUCCUCAUGGCCCUUAUGGGUAGGGCUUCACACGUCAUACAAUGGUACAUACAGGGCGCCGCCAACCCGCGAGGGGGAGCUAAUCGCAGAAGGUGUAUCGUAGUCCGGAUUGUAGUCUGCAACUCGACUGCAUGAAGUUGGAAUCGCUAGUAAUCGCGGAUCAGCAUGUCGCGGUGAAUACGUUCCCGGGUCU